rnacentral:lncRNA from 1 species
AGCAAUCGGAUAGGCAUUUGCUUCAGGUGAGCAGAGGGAUGACUUUCUGUCCCACAUCUGUGAAGAUCAGCUGUUGGUUUACAUUGCCAGGGUGAAAUUCAACAGAACUAAUUUAGGGUGAAGAUCUUGAGGCCCACAAGGAAUUUCCUUGUGGGAAAAUUGUGAGGAAGAGCAAUCACUGCACCCAGCCACCUCUAUAUACAUGUACACAAAGCCACACAGUUUACACAGUCACAGGUAUUUAAGUACACACUAUUCACACACAAAUACAUAUAUAGACACACAUGUACAGUCCGUCCAAAAUAUAUGUACAUAAAAGCACACUAUUACACCUUCAUAUGUGCACACACACACACACCCAGACUCACUUCAUACACACAUAGAUACAACAGCCACAGCUCCCCAUCACCUACACACACACACACACACCUGGACACCCAGCUCUAAUAUAAUCAGAUAGAGAUAUGCAUGCAGACAAAUUUGCCUGUAUAGUCAAACACAUAGGCAAAUAGAGAACGAGACACCACAUGAACAAAGGCAAACCUACACACAAAGACACAGAGCACACUUACGCAUAUAUCUAUAGACCCACCAUGGCACAUAUGGGUAAGUGCACACAGGCAAACUCACACACACGAGCAUGCACAGGCAGAGAACACAAAUGUACACUCCCAGGUGUCAUAAAGAACAGCCCAGCUUCGGCUUGGGAACGUCACAUCAGACAAUAGGAACGGCUGCACCGCGCGUUUCCUCGGCUGCCAGCUUCCCAGCCACAGAGGAUGCCUCACCUGCUAUGUCAGCUCCCCUCUGCCCCACCUCACAAGAAGCUCAGAAGCUGAGGAGUCACAGAGAGACCUCCCUACUGUGUCAGAGCAUUUUAGGACCCAAAGGGACCUAAGAGAGUGCUCAGACAGCUGGCUGCGUUAGGAGCUACCUGUGGCUGCUGAAGAAGAGUUUGCGUCAAUUUAAAGAAAGAGCCAUUCAAGGAAUGAGGACCAUGACCUUGGCUGCACUGACCAGCUGGGCUCUGGAGACUCAGUGAGGCUGCCCAGCCACCAACAGGCCCUGCACAAUAGAUCCACGGACCCAGCAGUCAGAGGUGACCCUAGGGGUCACUGGCCCGUGGCUAAGGAGGAGGAGCACAGACCUGCGACCCCCUUUUCCCAUGGACCACCCAGGGAGGCUGAGCGGGGACUCUGAGCUCAGAUGGACAACCUCAGAGCCACUGGGAAUUUGCCUGAGGCCACUGGGGCCAGGGUUAAAUCCAUAUGAAGCAGCGCGGGCUGUGCACCUGCCAUUUUCUAGGCUCUGUCACAUGCAUCUUUCUGCCAAAUCUCAUGGUGAUCCUUCAAGAAUAGUACUAUUAAUCUCCCCAUUGACAGAGGGAGAAAGGGAGGCUCAGAGACGUUAAGUGUCUCACCAAAGCUCACACAGCUUCCAAGCAAUAGAACUUUACUCAGUACUCAGUACAGGUUAACAUUUAUUCAUUCACUCGAUAACCAUUUGCAGCACAGCUACCAUAUGCCAGGCAGUGUUCUAGGCACUUAGAAUACAUAGAUGAGCAAAACAGGCAAAACCUUUCCCUCAGGGCGUUACCAUUUGAGUGCCACCAUGCCACGGCUGGUACAGUUGCUAUUGAGACAAACAAAAUAAGACCCAGUUUUUGCCUUUGGGGAGUAGGUAGUCUAGUGGAGGAGGCACAUACACAGAAAAUUCCAAAGUACUGUGGAAAUCUCAGGGUACUUUGAUAGGGAUUACCAGAGGAGCUGUGAGAAUAAAGGCUGGAUAUCAGGGAAGGCUUCCUGGAAGAGGUGUUGCCUGAAAUGAGCCUGGAAGGAUCACUUAGGGACAGAAAAGUCAUUCCGUGUAGAAUUCAUGGUGAGUGACAGAGCCUAAACCCAGUCUCUUUUGCAUGCUGAGCACUGAGACCCAGACGCUGGUGCUCAGACCUGAUGACUUAUUUUCCCAGGUACAGCUUGAGCAAAGACACAGAAGCAGAAGGCAGGUUUUUGGUUCCAUGAACUCUACAUCUGGCUACAUACAAAUGGUGAAGAGGAACAGGGAGAAACAUGGUUGAAAAGAACAGGCUUGGACUUCAGGAAGCAGUAAAAUGAGCGAAUGCCAUUUAUGGUUACAAAGAUAACUCAGCUGGGGGCCAAACAGAGACUGAAAUGGAGUGGGUGAGGAUGGAGGCCGGGAGGAGAUGGCUGCAGAGGUCCCAGCAAUGACAGUGGUUGUGGGAAGGGGCAACCCCAAGUCUUGUGCUCCCAACUGCAAAUCCAGUGCUUUUUCUAAAAAAAUAUUUAAAUAAUUUAUUUAUUUUUGAGAUGGAGUCUCGCUCUGUCACCCAGGCUGGAGUGCAGUGACACAAUGUCGGCUCGUGCAACCUCUGCCCCCCGGGUUCAAGCGAUUCUCCUGCCUCAGCCUCCCAAGUAGCUGGGAUUACAGACGCACGCCUCCACGCCUGGCUAAUUUUUUAUAUUUUUGGUAGAGAUGGGGUUUCACCAUGUUGCCCAGGCUGGUCUCGAACUCCUGACUUCAAGUGAUCCACCCACCUCGGCCUCCCAAAGUACUAGGAUGACAGGCGUGAGCCACUGUGCCCAGCCUUAUUUUUUUUUUUAAUUUAUAUUUUCAGAGGCAAACGAUCCUUGCUCAUUAAAAAAAGGAAAUAGAAAUUCAAAACAAAAAUGCCUGUAUCUGAUGGGAAAGAUGAGCCCAAUGUUCUUUUUUAAAAAACCUUUAUUAUGAAAUAUUUCAACUGAACAUAUGCAGUUUAUAUUGUUAUAAAGCAUAACAAGCAAUCAAACAGCUGUGAACCCACCACUCCAUGUCAGAACUAGAACUUCCCAAAGCAGUCGGAGCUGAGGUGAGAUCCACUCUGAUGCCCUUCCCCAACUCCACGCCACCCCCCAAGACCUGACCACCUGAUUACUCUGGGAUUUCAUUUUUGUCUCGUUCCCUUGCUUUGCUUUAUGUCUUUACCAAAUGUGAAUGUGUGCCUAAACAAUACAGUGCUCGAUUUGCUUGUGUUUAAGCUUUAUUACAAAUAUAACUUUGAUCCUUCUGCUACUUGCAAUUCUAAAUUUGAUAUUACGAGUCUCAGCCUCAUCGGCGUUGAUGCGUGUGACCGACAUUGAUUCACUCUCACCAGUACGUGGUGUGUUCCGUUGCAUGCAUGCACCCCUGCUGGGGUAUCCAUUCUCCUGUUG